GGGGGUGUAGCUCAGUGGUAGAGCGCUCGCUUUGCAUGUGAGAAGUUCCGGGUUCAAACCCCGGCACCUCCA
rnacentral:tRNA from 1 species